CUUCGGGACAACAAAUGGGCGAGGCAGAAGCAGAGGAGGAAAGGGAGAGGGAUCGGUUCGGGGAAAGGGAAGACGGCAGGGAGAGGUCACAAGGGUCAGAAGGCGAGAGGGACCUUCAAGUUCGGAUUCGAGGGAGGUCAGACCCCUCUUCGUCGUCGCCUCCCUAAGAGAGGCUUCAAGAACCCCUUCUCCCUCACCUUCCCGCCAGUGGGGCUAGGAAAGAUUGCAAAGCUCAUAAAUGCAGGCAAGAUUGAUUCAUCAGAACUGAUAAGUAAUAACUAUGAAAACUCUCAAGGAUACAAGUGCCAUAGGGAAGCGGAUUAAAGAUGGUGUAAGAUUAAUGGGCCGUGGCGCUGAACAUAUCAAGUGGCCAAUUCAUCUCGAGGGUUUGCAGUAUGGACGAGCCAGGUCAAGUCAUGGGAGAGGGAGAGGGAGGUUGGACAGAGAUCCAGCAAAGACGAAGGAGCCCAAAUCUCCUUACCCACUCCCUCUUUAUCGCAAAUAUUCCUUUUGGGUGCUCGGAAUCUGAUCUAAGAGCUCCAUUCUCCAAGUUUGGAGUUGUUUCAGAUGUGUACAUCCCCAUUCUUCCAAACUCCAAGAGAAACAGAGGAUUCGGAUUCGUGAGAUUUCACCAUCAAGCGGAAGCAGCUGCAGCCAUGGCCAAACUCCAAGGGUUCGAUCUGAAAGGUCGCAUCCUUCUCAUUGAAGCUGCAAGAGGGAAUAGCCAACCUAUUCCCAACUCUACACCGAAAACCUAUCCUAAACCACCUCCCUCACCCAUUUCAUCUGUCUUCUUUCCCACCCAUUUCCCAGCAACCAUCAGAUCCGGGCACAUUACCCUUUACCCAGCAACUUCACAAUCAGAGAUCAAUCUCCAUUCAAGUCCCGGGCAGGGUAUCCAACCAAAGGAGAAGAGAGCUGGCUCAUGCUCUGAUAGCCACAACCCCGGAUUCCACCUAUUUUGUUCCUUAUCUCUUAGACUCUCUGAGAUCUUCCCCUUUCAGUGCUUCUGGGGUCGAAGUGGCUAGGAUCUCCAAGCGAACCUUCUUCAUCUCCUUCCAUUUCAGAGAUGAAGUAGUGGCUUUCAAGUGCGACUCCUUUCUUCACAAAACCAUGGGUCUUUCCUCCAUCGUUCCCUGGGGACCAUCGGCAGUUUCCACCAACAAGGGAACCUAGAUUUGGAUUUAGGGAAUCCCACUUCACGCGUCAAGCAAAUCUACCUUCGAGCAGAUUGCAAGCAAUAUAGGCAUUGUUGUGGAGAUCGAUCCUAGUUCCCUAGCAGCCAUUUUCUUCAUGUUUGCCAGAGUUAAGAUUAUCCCUCGUCUUGGCACGGCCCUCUCACUAGCGUUGGAUCUCGAAGUGGAAGGCCUCUCCUUCCCGAUCAUCGUGACCGCUGAAUCAACAUCCCUGCAUCAGAUCUCAACCUGAGCAAGCUCGCAUCAUAUUCCUUCAACCCCUCAUCUGGGGAAUUCGGAGCCUUCUGUUCCCUCCCAACUUGUCCGGGAUGCGUAAUAGAGAAUGCCGUCUUCUUCUAUCAGGCUCAAGGCAGCCCUCCCACCUAGCUAUAUGUCAGAAUACAUUAUCAUCUAUCCCCCCUGCUAUCCCAAUCCUAUGCCCAGCAGGUGUUCGACGAAAUGCAUCCCCUCACUCCCAUCACCCAUAUAGCCAGAAUAUCUCUCCUUCACUUCAUGGUACUGCUUAACCUCCAACCACUAGUCAUCCACCAAUCCCGAUGCCCCUACCUACUACCUCUCCACCCAUCUAUGAGCCUAUAUCCCAUACCCUCGACCACUUAAGCUCAACCACUAUAUCAACCAACCACUCCACCAGCAUCACUCAGCCCCAAACUAUUGCCAAUCCAUCCAUCCAACAGCCUACCUCCCUCACCCCCAAUAUUAUUAGCACCGGCAACCCCAGCCCCAGCCUUCUUCAUCAUAAUCCCACUGAUGAUACUUGCAAUCUUACCAUUGCCUCUCCAACCAUCCACCAGCCAAUCACCCAGCCUCACAUAGCCCAUUUCAACUCAGGCCCAGCCAACCUCAUAGCCAACUAUCCCACCAGUAAAUCCCCAACUCACCCGAUCUCCCACCCUCGCUGGAACCAUCCCAGCAGUCCAAACAUUCAACAAUCCUACACUCCACCAUUCAGCCAUUAACCAAUCCACGCACCUACCACCCACACCUACUACCUCUCCACCCAUCUGUGAGACUAUCUCCCACACCCUCUUAAGCUCAACCAACAUAUCACCCAACCAUUCCAUUACCCUCCCACAGCGCCAAGCCCUUCAAUCCAUCCAUCAACCUUCCUCUCACAUUCCCAAUACCUCAGGCCCAACCAUCGAACAAUCUCCAGCUCAUCCCACUGAUGAUUCCAGCAACCCCAAACCCAAUUCUCUUCAUCAUCACCCUACUGAUGAUACCUGCAAUCCUAGUCUCAGCCUCACUCAGCUCCAGCCCAUUUCCACUCCAACCAUCAAUCACCCCAACCUCCAGCCUCACACAGCUCCAAUCCAUUUUAUCCCAGGCCCUUCCAUCCCUCCAGCCACCUAUCCUAUUGGUCCCAUCUAGCAACAACCUUAUAAUUCCCCAAUAUCAGAACUAACCUCUGACCAACCUUCCAAUCCAAAAUUCCCAGUUCAUCCUAUCACCCAUUCCAUUGUUGAAACCAGCGUCAUUAACCCCAUUCCUAGCCUUCUGCCUCAUCAUCCCAUCAGCUCAACCAGCACAACCCAUUCCAAUUCAUCAGCCUCCCAACAUACUCCAACAUCCAACCAAACCAGUUCUACAACUAUCCACCCAGCCUACAACCAAUCCCAACCCAUGCUCUCACCAAUCCAGGACACUACCAAUCCAGCUCUUCCCCCCCAUCGAUCGGAUGAGGUCUCAGUCCAAAUUAUUCAGACUAGAGAGAACUGCCCUGCUUGUCUACAGAGGACUAUCUGCCAUGGAGUCUGUCCUCCAUACUGCUGGGACUCAAUCUACCAAGGGAGGAUUUGCCUAACAGACGAAGAGAUUACUCCACUGGGCUACGCUUCAGAUUCCCAAUCCGACUCUCCUCAUUUCAUUGAUGAUUCUCCCACUCCUGCUGCUGCUACUCUAGACCUCCGGGUAGAUAUCAGAGGACAGCAACUGCUACAACAACUUCAACCAUUCAAGCAUCCUCAGUGGUCUCUAUGCCAACCAUCAUCCAUCAUUCUGCCCAAACCCGGAAGAACAAGAAAGCAUCAAUUAGAAGGAGCUUCUGCCUUGCCAGACUCAAGAAAAGGUCCGCUGCCGAAGGUUGGGAAUCUGAUG